GAUGAACGCUGACAGAAUGCUUAACACAUGCAAGUCAACUUGAAGCAGUUUCGGCUGUGGAUGGUGGCGGACGGGUGAGUAACGCGUAAAUAACUUGCCCUUUAGACUGGGACAACUGUUGGAAACGACGGCUAAUACCGGAUAUUAUGAAACCUUGGCAUCAAGGGAUUAUGAAAGCUAUAUGCGCUAGAGGAGAGAUUUGCGUCCUAUUAGCUAGUUGGUGAGGUAAUGGCUCACCAAGGCGACGAUAGGUAGCCGGCCUGAGAGGGUGAACGGCCACAAGGGGACUGAGACACGGCCCUUACUCCUACGGGAGGCAGCAGUGGGGAAUAUUGGACAAUGGACCAAGAGUCUGAUCCAGCAAUUCUGUGUGUUUGAUGAAGGCCUUCGGGUUGUAAAGAACUUUAAGUAGGGAAGAAGAAAGUGACGGUACCUACAGAAUAAGCGACGGCUAAAUACGUGCCAGCAGCCGCAGUAA
rnacentral:rRNA from 1 species